rnacentral:rRNA from 1 species
AUUGAACGCUGGCGGCAGGCCUAACACAUGCAAGUCGAACGAGUGGCGGACGGGUGAGUAAUUUAUGGGAAACUGCCUGAUGGAGGGGGAUAACUACUGGAAACGGUAGCUAAUACCGCAUACACUCGGAUGUGCCCAGAUUGGAGUGGCGAGUAGGGGGGGUAAAGGCUCACCUAGGAGACGAUCCCUAGCUGGUCUGAGAGGAUGACCAUACACACUGGAAGUGAGACAAGGUCCAGACUCCUACGUGAGGAAGCAGUGGGGAAUAUUGGACAAUGGGCGCAAGCCGGAUGCAGCCAUGCCGCGUGUAUGAAGAAGGCCUUCGGGUUGUAAAGUACUUUCAGCGGGGAGGCGUGACCCGCAGAAGAAGCACCGGCUAACUCCGUGCCAGCAGCCGCGGUAAUUC